rnacentral:rRNA from 1 species
GACGAACGCUGGCGGCGUGCUUAAAACAUGCAAGUCGAACGGAAAGGCCCUGCUUUUGUGGGGUGCUCGAGUGGCGAACGGGUGAGUUACACGUGAGUAACCUGCCCUUGACUUUGGGAUAACUUCAGGAAACUGGGGCUAAUACCGGAUAGGAGCUCCUGCUGCAUGGUGGGGGUUGGAAAGUUUCGGCGGUUGGGGAUGGACUCGCGGCUUAUCAGCUUGUUGGUGGGGUAGUGGCUUACCAAGGCUUUGACGGGUAGCCGGCCUGAGAGGGUGACCGGCCACAUUGGGACUGAGAUACGGCCCAGACUCCUACGGGAGGCAGCAGUGGGGAAUAUUGCACAAUGGGCGGAAGCCUGAUGCAGCAACGCCGCGUGCGGGAUGACGGCCUUCGGGUUGUAAACCGCUUUCGCCUGUGACGAAGCGUGAGUGACGGUAAUGGGUAAAGAAGCACCGGCUAACUACGUG